AUGUCUUCAUGAGUUCCCUUUAACGCUUCAUUGUUAAUAUUCAAACUACAUUUAUUUCCAUAAAUGUUUGAUCGAUUUGUAUAUAACACUGAAGUGUUUGGGGGGACUUUUGGUGUCAU
rnacentral:pre_miRNA from 1 species